AUUGAACGCUGGCGGCAUGCUUACACAUGCAAGUCGAACGGUAACAGGCCGCAAGGUGCUGACGAGUGGCGAACGGGUGAGUAAUGCACCGGAACGUGCCCAGUCGUGGGGGAUAACGCAGCGAAAGCUGCGCUAAUACCGCAUACGAUCUAUGGAUGAAAGCGGGGGACCGUAAGGCCUCGCGCGAUUGGAGCGGCCGAUGUCGGAUUAGGUAGGUGGUGGGGUAAAGGCUCACCGAGCCAAAGAUCUGUAGCUGGUCUGAGAGGACGACCGGCCACACUGGGACUGAGACACGGCCCAGACUCCUACGGGAGGCAGCAGUGGGGAAUUUUGGACAAUGGGCGCAAGCCUGAUCCAGCAAUGCCGCGUGCAGGAAGAAGGCCUUCGGGUUGUAAACUGCUUUUGUACGGAACGAAACGGUCCUGGUUAAUACCCGGGGCUAAUGACGGUAACCGGAGAAGAAGCCCCGGCUAACUUCGUGCCAGCCGCCGCCGUAACAC
rnacentral:rRNA from 1 species